UACGUAGGGUGCAGGCGUUAAUCGGAAUUACUGGGCGUAAAGCGCGCGCAGGCGGCCACUUAAGCCCGGCGUGAAAGCCCCCGGCUCAACCGGGGAGGGUCGUCGGGGACUGGGUGGCUUGAGGACGGCAGGGGCUGGUGGAAUCCCCGGUGUAGUGGUGAAAUGCGUAGAGAUCGGGGGGAACACCCGUGGCGAAGGCGGCCAGCUGGGCCGGUCCUGACGCUGAGGCGCGAAGGCGUGGGGAGCGAACGGG
rnacentral:rRNA from 1 species